rnacentral:rRNA from 2 species
CCUUAGUAWCGGCGAGUGAAAAGGAAAGAGCUCAGCGUCGAAACCGUGUUGGCUCUGGUUGACAUGGUAUUGUGACGUAUAGAGGUGAUCAUGUGCAGUUUGUUGACUUUACGAAUUUCCUUUGACUAGGAAUCCAAAGCUGGUGCGAGACCCGUACGUAUCGUCGACUUGUUGUACGCGUUUACUUCUUGGAGUCGGGUUGUUUGAGAUCGCAGCCCUAAGUAGGUGGUAUACUUCAUCUAAAGCUAAAUACGACUACGAAUCCGAUAGCAAACAAGUACCGUGAGGGAAAGUUGCAAAGUACUUUGAAGAGAGAGUUCAAGAGGACGUGAAACCGAUAGGAUGGAAGCAGAUGAAGUUGACGAACGAGUGUUGUAUUCAGAGCUGCAUCUUGUGUGCGGUUUGUUCUUGCAACCGAUGUGGGCCGGCGGCUCUGGUUAAUGCACUGUGCCAAUCGUCGAUGGUGACCCUGCGGAGGGAUACUCGGUCGGCGUGCGGUGCGUGGUAUAGCUAGGGUUCUGUCGCCGGUCUUGAAGUCAGCGCCUCAUCUGACCCGUCUUGAAACACGGACCAAGGAGUGUAGCGUUUACGCGAGUCUUAGAGUGUGUGAAAACUUUGAGGCGCAACGAAAGUGAAUGCAGCUUGAUCUGCUGACUUGGGAUGCGUUGUCUCUUGUGGACGGCGUCGGACCAAGGUUUUAUCGCGAUCGCUUGCGAUGCGGUGAAAAUAGAGCGUAAACGGUGCGACCCGAAAGAUGGUGAACUAUGCCUGAGCAGGAUGAAGCCGGAGGAAACUCUGGUGGAAGUCCGAAGCGGUUCUGACGUGCAAAUCGAUCGUCUGACUUGGGUAUAGGGGCGAAAGACUAAUCGAACCAUCUAGUAGCUGGUUUCCUCUGAAGUUUCCCUCAGGAUAGCUG